AUAAAAUUUUCAAAUCAGCCAUAUUCUUUAUCUUUAACCUCAACUUCAUUAUUAUCUCUUUUUCUUCAAAUCUCAAAUUUUUAUAUUCCUCCGUUACCAUUUACUACCAUCCUAAUUUUUAACUCCUCUAUAAUCUUAAGAGAAAAAGACAAAAAACAGAAAGUAGAUAACGAUUGUGGCUCAAAUUUUUUAUGCGGGUAGAAAUUUGGGAGUUCACAGGGAAACAAAAAUAAGAAUGAGUUGGAGUUCUUGAAGUUAAACUUAUGCAUCCAAGUUUGUGGCUUCCUUUGAGUUCGAAGUGGGUGGCUCUAAGAGGUGGGUUGUUCCGCCUGUUAAUGACACCAACAUCUACAAUAAUUUGACUUCUCACAAAAGGUUUCAAGUUAGUGAGUCCAUCCGUUUGUUUCUAGUAGCUGGGGAGGCUCAUUCAAGGACUUAUUGAGCCGGCUGUAUAGCGCCAUUCAGAACGGGGUUAUUGUUGUAGAGUGUCCCGUUAGUGGUCUUGUUGGGCCUUCAGCUUUGUUCCCAAACGGACAUUCAUCCUUUACCCAUUCAUGAAGGCAAUGACCUUAACCUUUAUUCCCAUGUGAACUAUCGAAGACUGUGAUUAAUUUUUUUUUUAUAUUGAAAGGCCUAUGAUCUUUAGAUUUAAUUAAUUUAGC